UACGUAGGGCGCAAGCGUUGUCCGGAAUUAUUGGGCGUAAAGAGCUCGUAGGCGGCCUGUCGCGUCUGCUGUGAAAUCCCGGGGCUUAACCCCGGGCGUGCAGUGGAUACGGGCUGGCUGGAGGCAGGCAGGGGAGAACGGAAUUCCCGGUGUAGCGGUGAAAUGCGCAGAUAUCGGGAGGAACACCGGUGGCGAAGGCGGUUCUCUGGGCCUGUACUGACGCUGAGGAGCGAAAGCGUGGGGAGCAAACAGG
rnacentral:rRNA from 1 species